ensembl:lncRNA
UGGAAGGGCUCUCUUGUGGGUGUGACAGAGGCAGAACAUAGAAAUGAGAGAUUUCUAGAAGGGAGGGUGAGCAAGCAGGAAGGCAAGAGAAAUGUCCACUUCCUUCGACCUCAUUCAAAGUGGCCCUGGCACCGACAACUUGGGGCUUUAGAUCCCUGCGAAUUGGGCCCUGAGGGCUGAGACUAAGAGGAGUUAGUGACUGGCCCACGUCUGGGGAACUCGGACAGGGGAAUCCGGGUGCCCACAGAGGAAAAGACCUUCUUCCUUCCAUUGAGGAGACUUCCACCAGUCAGCUGGUCAAGCAGUGUGUGGGGCUUGUGAUUUUCUGCUCCUCGUGCUCUUUCCUCAGCAGUUAAACCUGGCCACCACAGCCUCAUUCCUUCGAGGCCACUGCAGCAGCCUCCACACUAGCCCCUGUUCUGGCCAGUCCCCCAACCACACUGCUGUGAACAGUAUUCUCCAAAAGGGAAUGUGAUGGUGUCACUCUUGAAGCCUCCUGGUGACCUGCAGGUCUGCGUGGAAGCUCAGCCCUGCCUUGGCUUGGAGCCUCUGAGUGCUGGUCCUGCCCAGCCCCCUGCCCAGCCUCCUGCCCAGGCCCCUGCCCUGGUCUUUCCUAUUCACCCCCCACUACAUGCCCAUAACGCACGACUGAUGGUGCUCUCAGUCGUGUCCGACUCUGCGACCCCAUGGACGGUAGCCUGCCAGGCUCCUCUGCCCGUGGCAUUUUCCAGCUUUGUUGCUGGGUACAAAAAUUAAAAGACGCUUACUCCUUGGAAGGAAAGUUAUGACCAACCUAGAUAGCAUAUUCAAAAGCAGAGACAUUACUUUGCCAACAAAGGUCCGUCUAGUCAAGGCUAUGGUUUUUCCUGUGGUCAUGUAUGGAUGUGAGAGUUGGACUGUGAAGAAAGCUGAGCACUGAAGAAUUGAUGCUUUUGAACUGUGGUGUUGGAGAAGAUGCUUGAGAGUCCCUUGGACUGCAAGGAGAUCCAACCAGUCCAUUCUAAAGGAGAUAGGUCCUGGGAUUUCUUUGGAAGGA